UACGAAGGGGGGCUAGCAUUGUUCGGAAUUACUGGGCGUAAAGCGCACGUAGGCGGAUUGUUAAGUGAGGGGGUGAAAUCCCAGGGCUCAACCCUGGAACUGCCUUUCAUACUGGCAAUCUCGAGUCCGAGAGAGGUGAGUGGAAUUCCGAGUGUAGAGGUGAAAUUCGUAGAUAUUCGGAGGAACACCAGUGGCGAAGGCGGCUCACUGGCUCGGUACUGACGCUGAGGUGCGAAAGCGUGGGGAGCAAAACAGG
rnacentral:rRNA from 1 species